CUAUUCUGGGACAAUCUGCUUAGUCACAGUCCAUUUCUGAAUGACUCAAGCGUUAGGCAAAGAUGAAAGCUUCAGGAUGUGCAGGUCAAAGGGCAACUUUCAGGAGUCUAUUUUCAACCUGCCAGUGGCCACAGCCUUAAAGGAAACUGACCCUUCUUCCCUCCAAGCAGCAAUCACUUGCCAAGAGCUCCUAAGCAAGGGAUGAGAAUUCAACACCACCUCUCCACACCAUGCUGAGAUUUUGUCUGGCUUCACCUCUCACAGGACUUGUGCAUGCUGUCACAAUCGCUUUCAUCUCCUAAACACCGGGUCUGACUGAUUCUCCACUGGGGGAGGAAGAGUUUAGGAGAGGAAGAGGCCCUUCCUGUUUGUCUCAGACAGAAUGUGGCAGUGGUAGGUGUUGGAAUAUACCACUCACGCUUAGACUGACUGUAAGCACAAACACAUGCUCCUUUGUCCUUCUGCCGUGGCAAGCUGACUUCACUGGGAAAGGCUGUUCCUCACACACAUCUCAGGCAACAUGAAUCAACAUCUGAGCAGGUCAGCAGAGGCCUACCUUGCACCUUGAGAGUUCAGAACCUGCUUCCUCCAACCCUUGACUUCUCAGAAGCUCUGCUGAUGGGGAGGAAAGAGAUGUGACACUGAGGAUCCCACAUGAAGUAGCAAGCAGUCAGCUACUUUACACGUCACCUGCCUACAGGAUUUGUCAGGUGUGCAUCAAAUGUCAGUCUCUAGGAUCUUCUGUGUCCAGUGGACACAGUCCAAGCCAUCACAUUUGGCUUGAGUGGAAAAGACCGGACCCUCUUCUCUGACCUAUGUGAGGAAGACAGGAUGCAUAGCCCAUGCACAUCUCUUUAAAGAAGAGCCUUGCCCUUGAUGCUGCAAGAUCCUCCAUGAUGAUCUCACAAAGCAG
rnacentral:lncRNA from 1 species